CCCUUAGAUGUUCUGGGCCGCACGCGCGCUACACUGAUGAAUUCAACGAGCUCCUAACCUAGGCCGAAGGGUCCGGGUAAUCUUUGAAAUUUCAUCGUGAUGGGGAUAGAUUAUUGCAAUUAUUAAUCUUCAACGAGGAAUUCCUAGUAAGCGCGAGUCAUCAGCUCGCGUUGAUUACGUCCCUGCCCUUUGUACCCACCGCCCGUCGCUCCUACCGAUUGAAUGGUCCGGUGAAAUGUUCGGACCGCGACAAGGCGGACGGUUCGCUGUCAGCUUUGCUGCGGGAAGUUCAUUAAACCUUAUCAUUUAGAGGAAGGAGAAGUCGUAACA
rnacentral:rRNA from 1 species